AGAACGAACGCUGGCGGCAGGCCUCAAACAUGCAAGUCUAGGGGGUGUAGCAAUACAUCACCGGCGGACGGGUGCGUAACACGUGGGAAUGUACCUUUUGGUUCGGAACAACCCAGGGAAACUUGGGCUAAUACCGGAUAAGCCCUUACGGGGAAAGAUUUAUCGCCAAAAGAUCAGCCCGCGCUCGAUUAGCUUGUUGGUGGGGUAAUGGCCUACCAAGGCAACGAUCGAUAGCUGUUCUGAGAGGAAGAUCAGCCACACUGGGACUGAGACACGGCCCAGACUCCUACGGGAGGCAGCAGUUGGGAAUCUUGGACAAUGGGGGAAACCCUGAUCCAGCCAUGCCGCGUGAGUGAUGAAGGCCUUCGGGUUGUAAAACUCUUUCGACGGGGACGAUAAUGACGGUACCCGUAGAAGAAGCUCCGGCUAACUUCGUGCCAGCAGCCGC
rnacentral:rRNA from 1 species